rnacentral:misc_RNA from 1 species
CAGAGUUAUCCAACUCCCAAACCCAUGUGAACUUGUCUCUUUGUUGCCUCGGCGCAAGCUACCCGGGACCCAGCGCCCCGGGCGGCCCGCCGGCGGACAAACCAAAACUCUUGUUAUCUUAGUUGAUUAUCUGAGUGUCUUAUUUAAUAAGUCA